rnacentral:rRNA from 1 species
AUGAGAAGACAUGAUGACUUUAGAGUUUGUUAUGAUCUUGCAAGCCUAGCCAAGAAAAUGUUUGAACUUGAAAGAAAUAUUAUGUUCCCUCUGGUUUAUCGCCUUAUUGAGUUGGGGUUGCUUCUACCGGUGGCAACGGCAUCGGUUGAAAGGGCCUUCUCAGCAAUGAAGAUCAUCAAGACUGAUUUGCGCAGCAAGAUGUCCAAUGGUUGGCUUGAUGACUUAAUGGUGUGCUACAUCGAGAGAGAGAUAUUUAAAGGACUUGAUCUUGCUGAAAUUAAGAAAGAAUUUCAACAUGAAGGUAGAAGAAUGCCAUUGCCACGUUCUACUUAA